rnacentral:rRNA from 1 species
AUGAGUUUGCUUUACGAAGCAUGUGCUAGUUCAGUUUCUGAGAUUGAAGGAAUGACUGGUAUGGGUUCUGGUACUGGGAGCUAUUCUGUUGGGCAGAACCAUUUAUUUUCAUAUGAUCAUAUAAAAUCAGUCGUCGAGCGGUUAGGUGCAGCCGUAAAGACUACUCAGUAUAGCAAUGAAGGGAACACAAAGGAACUAAAGGCUACUGUUCUUGAGUUGCAGCAGGAGCUUCAGGGAAAAGAUGUGCAAAUUAGCACAAUCAGUUCGGAGCUUGCAUCUCAGAUAAGGGAAGCUGAAUCUUAUGCGAAACAGCUUUCUGUUGAGCUUGAAGAUGCAAGAAUGCAAGUACACAAUUUGGAGGAACAUGUUGAGAUGUUGCUUAAUCAGAAGAAAGCUUUAGAGACCCAAGCAAGUGAGCUUAAAGAUUUGGAGACAGUGGCAAGUGAGCAGCAUGGAAGAAUAAAGGAGUUGACUGAUGAACUGAGCAGAAAAGACCAAGAGAUUGAAGGUUUGAUGCAAGCACUUGACGAAGAAGAAAAGGAGCUUGAAGUCUUGGAGAACAAAAGCAAUGACUUGGAGCAGAUGCUGCAAGAAAAAGAAUUUUCUUUGAAGAGCCUUGAAGAUUCUAGGACAAAAGCUCUGACUAAACUUGCAACCACUGUCGACAAGUUUGACGAGUUGCAUAGCUUGUCUGAAAGUCUUCUUGUAGAAGUGGAAAGCCUUCAGUCACAAUUGCAAGGGAGAGAUUCGGAGAUCUCGUUUCUGCGCCAAGAAGUCACAAGGAGUACUAAUGAACUACUAACCACUGAAGAUAGCAACAAGCAGUACUCAUCGCAGAUAAAUGGUUUUGUUAAGUGGUUAGAAACUGCGCUGAUGCAGUUUGGUGUGCAUUGUGAGAGCGCAGAUGACCAUGAUUACACUCAGGUUCCAGUAUAUAUGGACAUGUUGGACAAAAAAAUAGUGUCGUUGAUAUCUGAAUCAGAUGAUUUGAGGGUUGCUGUGCAAAGCAAAGAUUCUUCACUACAGGUCGAGAGGACCAAAAUGGAAGAGUUGUUGCGUAAAUCAGAGGCUCUAGAAGCUUCUUUGAGCCAAAAGGAUUCUCAGAUAGGGAUGCUUCGUCGAGACAGGACGAUGGGCCAACCUAGAUCUAUAAACUUGCCUGGCACUUCGGAGAUUGAGCAAAUGAAUGACAAAGUAAGCCCAGCUGCAGCUGUCACUCAGAUUCGAGGGGCACGAAAAGUCAACAACGACCAGGUUGCUAUCGAUGUAGAGAUGCACAAGGACAAACCAUUAGAUGAUGAAGAUGACGAUAAAGCGCAUGGUUUCAAGUCACUGACGAUGUCGCGCGUUGUUCCGAAGUUUACUCGACCUAUAUCAGACAGAAUCGACGGGAUGUGGGCAUCUGGUGAUAGAUUGCUCAUGAGACAACCAACCUUGAGACUUGGUGUCUUGAUAUACUGGAUAGCAUUGCAUGCAUUGCUUGUGAGUUUUAUUUGA